rnacentral:rRNA from 1 species
CAAUAGCGUAUAUUAAAGUUGUUGCAGUUAAAAAGCUCGUAGUUGGACCUUGGACCUGGACAGGCGGUCCGCCUCACGGCGAGGACUGUCUUGCUGGGUCUUUCCUCUUGGUGAUCUGUUGUUUCGGCAGCAGGGAACCAGGACCUUUACUUUGAAAAAAUUAGAGUGUUCAAAGCAGGCUCGACGCCGGAAUAUAUUAGCAUGGAAUAAUAAAAUAGGACGUGCGGUUCUAUUUUGUUGGUUUUUGGAAUCGCCGUAAUGAUUAAUAGGGACAGUCGGGGGCAUUAGUACUCACAUGCUAGAGGUGAAAUUCUUGGAUUUUGUGAAGACUAACUUCUGCGAAAGCAUUUGCCAAGGAUGUUUUCAUUAA